GUCUUUUGACCCCCAUCCCUGCCCCCAUUCCCGCUCAGGUAGCAUCAGCAUCCCGAGUAGCGCCAGAAGCACACCUGGCAUUAAGUGUGCAUUUGUUUUUAAAGAAAGAACCCCUGGGGUUGUGUGUGUGUGCGUUUUCAUUCUCUGUGUUUUUGUAGGACCGCAGUGUGUCUGUAACCGUGUGUGGCGGCUUCCCUGGUGGCUCAGCAGUGAAGAAUCCGCCAGUCAAUGCAGAAGAUGGGGGUUCUAUCCCUGGGUGGGAAAGAUCCCCUGAAGAAGGAAAUGGCAACCUGCUUCAGUUUUCUUGCCUGGGAGAUCCCAUGGACAGAGCAGCCUGGCAGGCUACAGUCCUUGAGGACCCAAAGAGUCAGACACGACUUAGCGACUAAACAACCACCAUUUCUUCAGUGGGACCUGUGAAAACAGCACUGUACCUGCUGACCUUAGGUGAAACUGCAGUAAACUCUGACCUUCCCGUGUGAGUUUUCCAUGACCCCAGGAUGAAGUGGAACAUCUCCUUCCCCAGAUGUCUGGGCACCUUGAAAAUGAAGUUUGAACACAUAUUUUGGUCUCCUAAUAAAACUUCUCUUCCCAGACUCUUUGUAAAUAAGCAAUAAAAAGUUUGAGUGCUUUUGUGACUGUGUGUGGAAUUAUAUAAUAUAAUGCACAUUUUGAGGCCUGUGAGAUUAUGGCUUUAGUUAUGAGAUUGUGUUUUUAUCUGUGAGUAUGACUUAAAAUGUAUAUGAUGCCUUCAAAGACAUGCUUUUGUUAUGUGGGCAUUUUAUGGAUAUUGUGAAUGUGGAUUACUUAUAACAGGCUUAUUAAGUGUGAACAGACUUAUUAAGUGAGAAACUACAUGAGAUGGAAAUGUGUGAUUUUGAUUAUAUGAAUAUAGAACCCUGUGAUAUUAUGACUGUAUAUCUUGGUGAGUGACGAUAGGCUGCCUUACUCUUUCAACAAAGAAUGAGAGGAAUAUUGCACCUUUAUGGAACAAUAACUUUAAGAUUUGGGUUAAAGAAUUUGCUAUUUAUUUGGCAAAUCAUUUGGAUAUUUUAUGCUCUAUUACUUAGCCUUAAAAAUAAGAAAUCCGACACAUGCUAUAAUGUGGAUGUAUCUAGAGAACAUUGUACUAAGUGAAA
rnacentral:lncRNA from 1 species